GACGAACGCUGGCGGCGUGCUUAACACAUGCAAGUCGAACGAAGUGGCGAACGGGUGAGUAACGCGUAAUCAACCUGCCCUUCAGAGGGGGACAACAGUUGGAAACGACUGCUAAUAACGCAUACUGAAGGUGGGGAUUGCGUCUGAUUAGAUAGUUGGAGGGGUAACGGCCCACCAGGGCGAUGAAAAGUAGACGGGCUGCGAGGAUGAACGGCCACAUUGGGACUGAGACAUGGCCCAGACUCCUACGGGAGGCAGCAGUGGGGAAUCUUCCGCAAUGGACGAAAGUCUGACGGAGCAACGCCGCGUGAGUGAUGACGGCCUUCGGGUUGUAAAGCUCUGUUAAUCGGGACGCGGUACCGGAAUAGAAAGCCACGGCUAACUACGUGCCAGCAGCCGCGGUAAUUC
rnacentral:rRNA from 1 species